GGGGAAUAUUGCACAAUGGGCGAAAGCCUGAUGCAGCAACGCCGCGUGAGGGAUGACUGCCUUCGGGUUGUAAACCUCUUUUAGUAGGGAAGAAGCGAAAGUGACGGUACCUGCAGAAAAAGCACCGGCUAACUACGUGCCAGCAGCCGCGGUAAUACGUAGGGUGCAAGCGUUGUCCGGAAUUAUUGGGCGUAAAGAGCUCGUAGGCGGCUUGUCGCGUCUGCUGUGAAAUCCCGAGGCUCAACCUCGGGCCUGCAGUGGGUACGAGCAGGCUAGAGUGCGGUAGGGGAGAUUGGAAUUCCUGGUGUAGCGGUGGAAUGCGCAGAUAUCAGGAGGAACACCGAUGGCGAAGGCAGAUCUCUGGGCCGCUACUGACGCUGAGGAGCGAAAGCAUGGGGAGCGAAC
rnacentral:rRNA from 1 species